AAGUCGUAACAAGGUUUCCGUAGGUGAACCUGCGGAAGGAUCAUUACAGUAUUCUUUUGCCAGCGCUUAACUGCGCGGCGAAAAACCUUACACACAGUGUCUUUUUGAUACAGAACUCUUGCUUUGGUUUGGCCUAGAGAUAGGUUGGGCCAAAGGUUUAACAAAACACAAUUUAAUCAUUUUUAUUGAUAGUCAAAUUUUGAAUUAAUCUUCAAAACUUUCAACAACGGAUCUCUUGGUUCUC
rnacentral:misc_RNA from 1 species